rnacentral:lncRNA from 1 species
GGAAGAUCUCAUAUAUCUGAGUGGAAACACUUACAUUAAUUGUAAUACAAUGUUAGUUGUACCAACUUCAAAAAAUGAUGUAAAAGAAGUGCUUUUGAGAGCUGAAAGCUGUGGCCACAUGGAACAAAAGAAUAAAUGAGUUUCUAAUUGCUUUUCAUUCAUUGGAGAUGACAGUUCCAAAUAUAUUCACCUUUUUAAAUGAAAAGGAUAGAAUUUUAAUUGGAAGAAUGAGAAAAUAAAAGUGCUAUGAUUAGAAAAACUUGAGGAUUAUUCUAACCAGCAAGAAAAGAUCUCUUAAAAUCUUCAGAGGAAUUGCAGAAUUAAAAAAAAUAUAUGUGGCAAGAACUCGAUUGGAUAGAUAAAUAUAGGUAAUAGAUAUCUUUGAGGUAAAAUAGGACCUCAAUUUAAAUAGAUUAAUGUAAGAAUUUAAAAAAUGCUGAUGUAAUAAAUCAAUAU